rnacentral:rRNA from 1 species
UACGUAGGGUGCAAGCGUUGUCCGGAAUUAUUGGGCGUAAAGGGUGCGUAGGUGGCUUGAAAAGUUAUCAGUGGCAAAUCGAGGCUUAACCUCGCGGAAACUGGUAAUACUGUUUGGCUCGAGUGCAGGAGAGGUUAACGGAACUCUAUGUGGAGCGGUAAAAUGCACAGAUAUAUAGAAGAACACCAAUAACGGCGAAGGCAGUUAACUAUUCUGUUACUGACACUGAGGCACGAAAGCGUGGGGAGCAAAACGG